rnacentral:lncRNA from 1 species
UCAUAAAUUAAAUUCUCUAAAUUAUUACAUCCCUAAAAUGAGCUAGUUAUGGAGAUAACUAGAUCAUAGCCUCUCAUUAAGUUGGGUGAUAAUGGGUCCAUUAGUAUGAUGAUCAUUGGAGUUCCAAAGGCUUGGUGUUUAUCUGCUAUUAAAAUUAUCGUUCAUAAUAUGAUGACAUAGUCGAGUCUCUCUAUCAAGUGGUCAAGUUAGCCGACCAAAGUCAAAACUGAUUAUUUGGUAGUUAGAUUUGUAAGUAUGAUCA